GUGGGGAAUAUUGGACAAUGGGCGAAAGCCUGAUCCAGCCAUGCCGCGUGUGUGAAGAAGGUCUUCGGAUUGUAAAGCACUUUAAGUUGGGAGGAAGGGCAGUAAGUUAAUACCUUGCUGUUUUGACGUUACCGACAGAAUAAGCACCGGCUAACUUCGUGCCAGCAGCCGCGGUAAUACGAAGGGUGCAAGCGUUAAUCGGAAUUACUGGGCGUAAAGCGCGCGUAGGUGGUUUUGUAAGUUGGAGGUGAAACCCCCGGGCUCAACCUGGGAACUGCCUACAAAACUGCAUGACUAGAGUACGGUAGAGGGUAGUGGAAUUUCCUGUGUAGCGGUGAAAUGCGUAGAUAUAGGAAGGAACACCAGUGGCGAAGGCGACUACCUGGACUGAUACUGACACUGAGGUGCGAAAGCGUGGGGAGCAAACAGGAUUAGAAACCCUAGUAGUCC
rnacentral:rRNA from 1 species